rnacentral:ncRNA from 1 species
UUCACCAAUUAGUUCUUAUCAAUUAUAACGAUUAUCAAUUCACUUAUCAAUUCAGAACUGGCACGGACUUGGGGAAUCCGACUGUCUAAUUAAAACAAAGCAUUGUGAUGGCCCUAGCGGGUGUUGACACAAUGUGAUUUCUGCCCAGUGCUCUGAAUGUCAAAGUGAAGAAAUUCAAGUAAGCGCGGGUCAACGGCGGGAGUAACUAUGACUCUCUUAAGGUAGCCAAAUGCCUCGUCAUCUAAUUAGUGACGCGCAUGAAUGGAUUAACGAGAUUCCUACUGUCCCUAUCUACUUCUACUGAUAGCUUCCAGUCCGGGACGUUUGUCUGGCGUAUCCAGACUCAUGCACCAUGUUGAUACAUGCACCACUUGUGGGUGUUCAGGGUGUCGUGGUUGUAAUCCCUUCAGUGUGGAACACGCCACGUAAAACAAGUUCGGAGAGGUCCGAAAGUCACUGUCCCUAUCUACUAUCUAGCGAAACCACAGCCAAGGGAACGGGCUUGGAAUAAUUAGCGGGGAAAGAAGACCCUUUUGAGCUUGACUCUAAUCUGGCAGUGUAAGGAGACAUAAGAGGUGUAGAAUAAGUGGGAGAUAUUAGACCUCGGUUUGGUAUCGUCAAUGAAAUACCACUACUCUUAUUGUUUCCUUACUUACUUGAUUAAAUGGAACGUGUAUCAUUUCCUAGCCAUUAUACGGAUAUAUUUAUUAUAUCUUAUGGUAUUGGGUUUUGAUGCAAGCUUCUUGAUCAAAGUAUCACGAGUUUGUUAUAUAAUCGCAAACAAAUUCUUUAAUAAAACGAUGCAUUUAUGUAUUUUUGAUUUGAAAAUUUGGUAUAACUCCAAUUACUCAGGUAUGAUCCAAUUCAAGGACAUUGCCAGGUAGGGAGUUUGACUGGGGCGGUACAUCUCUCAAAUAAUAACGGAGGUGUCCCCCUCGUCAUCAAUUUAGUGACGCAUAUGAUAUUGUCCCUUUCAUAUAAUUAAUAUAAAGACUUUAAUGGAUUGUGUCAAGUUGCCCAAACACCUCGUCAUCAACUACUAUAUUAUGGGUUGCGCCGACCUCUCAUAUUGUAUUCUCUUAUGUGUUCAUAGGAUUUUGACAAUUAUACGAGUAAAUUAAAUAAUAUACAUAUGAAAAUGAUUAAUUAUUAUAUGUAUAAGGGAAAAAAUGAUGAAAUAUUCCCAUAUUAUCUUAGUAUUAUAGAGGAAAGACCGUUGCCGACCUCUGA